GUGUCAGCAGCCGCGGUAAUACGGAGGGUGCAAGCGUUGUUCGGAAUUAUUGGGCGUAAAGGGCGCGUAGGCGGUAAUGAAAGUCAGAUGUGAAAUACUUCGGCUCAACUGAAGAACUGCAUCUGAAACUUCAUAACUAGAGUACGGAAGAGGGAAAUGGAAUUCCCGGUGUAGAGGUGAAAUUCGUAGAUAUCGGGAGGAACACCAGUGGCGAAGGCGAUUUCCUGGUCUGGUACUGACGCUGAGGCGCGAAAGUGUGGGGAGCAAACAGGAUUAGAUACCCUGGUAGUCCACACUGUAAACGGUGAACACUAGGUGUGGGAGGUGUAAUACCUUCUGUGCCGCAGUUAACGCGAUAAGUGUUCCGCCUGGGAAGUACGGCCGCAAGGUUGAA
rnacentral:rRNA from 1 species